GCGAGGGUGGCGGAAUCGGCAGACGCACCAGCUUGAGGUGCUGGCGGAGUAACUACCGUGAGGGUUCAAGUCCCUUCUCUCGCACCA
rnacentral:tRNA from 2 species